CCUACGGGAGGCAGCAGUGAGGAAUAUUGGUCAAUGGACGAGAGUCUGAACCAGCCAAGUAGCGUGAAGGAUGACUGCCCUAUGGGUUGUAAACUUCUUUUAUAUGGGAAUAAAACGUUCCACGUGUGGGAUUUUGUAUGUACCAUAUGAAUAAGGAUCGGCUAACUCCGUGCCAGCAGCCGCGGUAAUACGGAGGAUCCGAGCGUUAUCCGGAUUUAUUGGGUUUAAAGGGAGCGUAGGUGGAUUGUUAAGUCAGUUGUGAAAGUGUGCGGCUCAACCGUAAAAUUGCAGUUGAAACUGGCAGUCUUGAGUACAGUAGAGGUGGGCGGAAUUCGUGGUGUAGCGGUGAAAUGCUUAGAUAUCACGAAGAACUCCGAUUGCGAAGGCAGUUCACUGGACUGCAACUGACACUGAGGCUCGAAAGUGUGGGUAUCAAACAGGAUUAGAUACCCUGUAUUC
rnacentral:rRNA from 1 species